ACACUAGUCCUCAGGUUAGGUUCAUCAAUCAUCACGAUGGACGGGGGAGGAAAAACACUAGUCCUCAGGUUAGGUUCAUCUAUCAUCAUGAGUGGGGGAGGAAAAACACUAGUCCUCAGGUUAGGUUCAUCUAUCAUCAUGAGUGGGGAAGGAAAAACACUAGUCCUCAGGUUAUGUUCAUCUAUCAUGGAGGGAUAAGGAAUCACAUUUCUUAAUGAAUCAGAGAAGGACAGGUUGACUCUCUUUGAUGAGCUAGACCUUUAUGAGGCAAGGAUGGAGAGGUUGACUGUGUCCCGAUUCUCUACCCUUCUUCCGAAGUGCACAGGUGCAAACGGUCAUGGAUUUCACAAUGGUGGAAACUCCCUCUAGCCUUUAAAUCCACGAUGUGGAGUGUGCAAGUGCAUCCUUGGAGGAUCGGGAUGUAUCCGUGUGCAGUCCUCGGUCUGCUAUCAUGCUUCAUGGUGGUACAGUACUUCGAAUUGUCCUACAACAGCG
ensembl:lncRNA